GGGGCCGUGCCUGAAACAAAGGAUCACUUUGAUAGAGUGAAUCAUGAGGGUUGAAACCCCUCCAGCUCCU
rnacentral:tRNA from 1 species